rnacentral:rRNA from 1 species
CCUACGGGAGGCAGCAGUGGGGAAUAUUGGGCAAUGGGCGCAAGCCUGACCCAGCAACGCCGCGUGAAGGAAGAAGGCUUUCGGGUUGUAAACUUCUUUUCUCAGGGACGAAGCAAGUGACGGUACUUGAGGAAUAAGCCACGGCUAACUACGUGCCAGCAGCCGCGGUAAUACGUAGGUGGCAAGCGUUAUCCGGAUUUACGGGGUGUAAAGGGCGUGUAGGCGGGAAAGCAAGUCAGAUGUGAAAACCCUGGGCUCAACCUGUGGCCUGCCUUUGAAACUGUUUUUCUUGAGUACUGGAGAGGCAGACGGAAUUCCUAGUGUAGCGGUGAAAUGCGUAGAUAUUAGGAGGAACACCAGUGGCGAAGGCAGUCUGCUGGACAGCAACUGACGCUGAGGCGCGAAAGCGUGGGGAGCGAACAGGAUUAGAUACCCCUGUAGUC